UACCAGCACCCCGAGUGGUCGGGACGUUUAUUGGGCCUAAAGCAUCCGUAGCCGGUUCUACAAGUCUUCCGUUAAAUCCAGCUGCUUAACAGAUGGGCUGCGGAAGAUACUAUGGAGCUAGGAGGCGGGAGAGGCAAGCGGUACUCGAUGGGUAGGGGUAAAAUCCGUUGAUCCAUUGAAGACCACCAGUGGCGAAGGCGGUUCUCUGGGCAUUACCUGACGCUGAGGAGCGAAAGUGUGGGGAGCGAACAGG
rnacentral:rRNA from 1 species